GAGCACUGUUUGGCCGAGGGGCCCCUCUUGGGUUACCGUAUUCAGACAAAUUCCGAAUGCCAAUUUAUUUAACUUGGGAGUCAGAACAUGGGUGACAAGGUCCGUGUUCGUAAGGCAAUCAGCCCAGACCACCAGCUAAGGUCCCACAAUAUAUGUUAAGUGCAAUUGGAUGUGUCGUUGCCCAGCCAACUAGGAUGUUGGCUUAGAAGCAGCCAUCAUUUAAAGAGUGCGCAAUAGCUCAAGAGCCG
rnacentral:rRNA from 1 species